rnacentral:misc_RNA from 1 species
UUAACUAUUAUAUAGUACUCAGACUUCAUAUACAAACAGAGUUUAGGUCCUCUGGCAGACACGAGCCGGCCGGAGCCGGCAGCCCGAGGGCAGGCUUGCCAAAGCAACAAAGUGUAAUAAACAAAGGGUGGUAGGUUACCCAGGAGGCCUUGCGGCAACCUGGGUGACUACUGUAAUGAUCCUUCCGCAGGUUCACCUACGGAAA